UUCGUCGUCAAGCCGAAUUUCGAACCGGCCCACAAUUUUAUUGCUAUAAUAAAUAUAGCUACAUCUAUAAUAGCUAUCUACGUAAUAUUGGUAUAUGAAUAUUGUUGGUUUUGUAAAAAAAAUGGUUUAUAGAUAAAAUUAUAGUGAAUAAAAUAUUGUUAUAGUGGGGUUUUGAAGUUAUCUAAUCAGUAGGGUAGACUGGGUACGGUAGUACCAGGGGGGCGGUAGUACCAAAGCAAAUAUCUCGUGAAUAGUUGAGCACAGCCCUAUGCGUUCAAGGAGUGAUAGUAGCCGCAUACAAGUUGAAGUAUGUAAGUUGUAAGUUGAGUCACACAAAGCCAGUUACACGCGUGUAGGACGUGUUUUUGAUUUUUUGAGAUCAAAAGUAAAUAUUUGAUGAUGAAUUGUUUUUAGUUUUUAAAUCUUGUCUUGCGUGUUAUAUUAUUCAUGUGUGUUUAUUGAAAAUAAAUGGUUUUUGAAGAAUAAAGAUGCCACGAGUACGUAUUCACAAAACAGGAAAAGGCCAACAUGAUGAUAGCGCUUAUAUCAAUGCCUAUGAGUGUAUAUUGAGUGUAAGAACUGGGCUCAUGAGCAAUGCACUGACGGAGAACCCAGCUACGUAUGCAAUAAUUGUGAUUCCAACUAAUUUUAUUGUUGCACACAUAGCAGGACAUUUAAGUAUAAUUUUAAAAGUGUUUUCUUUAUUGUAAUAAAUACGUUUAUUGUCAUAAAUAA